AGUCUUGCCACUGGCCCUCGCUUGGACUGGAUGCUCCUUGCUGCCCACAAGAUGGCACCUCGUGGGUGUGUUGACCAUCUACCGCCCUUCCCUUGAGUGACUGCUACUUGUAGAAGACACGAAUGGACGAAUGGAUGAGCAGGAGAGGCAGGCCUCCUGGAGCCGAGGUGCCGGCACGUGGUUGAGGAGAUGGACGGGGCGUGUGCCCUCAACACGCUUGGCCUCUAGUGAAAGAGACAGGCCGGGACAAAUAGUGCUGUGUCUGGUGUCCAACCUCCGCCGGCUCGGGAAGCUGCUGGAGGCGCCUGUGGCCUGUGCCCGUGAGGGAGUGGGCCGUGGUGGCAUGGGAGUCUUCCAAGGUGAGCCAGUCUGCGGGAAGGGCGAGCACGAGGGGUGGGGCCUGGCUCGGCCCGGAAUGGGGGCAUCAUGCUGUGUCUGCACCGACGGACAAACCGGGACUGCGUCGGCCCCGUGCCAGGGUUUCCCAGGCACCGUCCCGGCACCUUCCUUGUUACUCUGUACAAUGGGAACAUGUACUUUCCCAGAGCGAGAGGCGUCUAGGGUUCUCCCAUUUUUUGCUCUUGUACAUAAUGCCACAAAUAAAACCGGCUCUUUGAUUGCAAGUCACAGGAAUCCCCCCCCAGGAAGCCAAGCAGAGCUUCACAUGUGGGGGGUGGGCAGCCCGAGCUCCCCCAGCCUCCAGCCUCCAUCUCUUCCCUCCGCACAAGGCCAUGGGUGAGUAAAGUGACACUCACUGCCCCUCGCAGGCCUAGAUUCUCGUUACACCGUCGCUCACCUUCACACGGUGCUGAUGUGGGCAUGAGGUGGACCGGCUAACAGAGGACUUUGUUUUUUGUUGUUGUUGUUGUUUUGUUUUGUUGAAUUUUUUAUUUUUAUUAUUUUUUUAUUUUUAUUUUUUUUUAUUUUUUAUUUUUAUUUAUUUAUUUAUUUUUUAAUUUUUAUUUAUUUAUGAUAGUCAUACAGAGAGAGAGAGAGAGAGAGAGAGGCAGAGAGAUAGGCAGAGGGAGAAGCAGGCUCCAUGCAUCGGGAGCCUGACGUGGGAUUCGAUCCCAGGUCUCCAGGAUCGCGCCCUGGGCCAAAGGCAGGCGCCAAACCGCUGCGCCACCCAGGGAUCCCUAUUUUUUAUUUUUUUAAUAUAAAUUUAUUUUUUAUUGGUGUUCAAUUUGCCAACAUAUAGCAUAACACUUGCUCAUCCCGUCAAGUGCCCACCCCAGUGCCCGUCACCCAGUCACCCCCACCCCCCGGCCUCCUCCCCUUCCACCACCCCUAGUUGUUUCCCAGAGUUAGGAGUCUCUUAUGUUCUGUCUAACAGAGGACUUCGGAUGGAGGCGUGGGCACAGUGUCCCUGUGGAGCAGACGGGGAUCAUGACCGGGAUGUGCUGGGGAGGUGGUGACAGUGGAUGUUCGGGGCCGCUGAGCACCCGGGCCAGCGUGGACCUGUUCGCGCUGGGCUGGGGUCCGGGUCCUGGGCCUCCCGUCCCAGAAGCCAGGGGUCCCGGCACGCUCCCAGCAGUGUGUGGUGUGCGCUGAGAGGCUUGGGGGGCAGUGGCCAUUGUCUUUGCAGGUGGCUCCUCCCAUCUCGGUCCCACGCUCUUGUGCCACUUACCUGGGCACGGAGCUGAGACUUGGAUGCCAUCGCCUAGAUUCUCUCUGUUUGACAUUCCAGCGAGAC
rnacentral:lncRNA from 12 species